rnacentral:snRNA from 1 species
GGAUGUGAGGGCGAUCUGGCUGUGACAUCUGUCACCCCAUUGAUCGCCAGGGUUGAUUUGGCUGAUGUGGCUGGCUAGGCAGGGGUUCCCUUCCUCCCUCACUGCUCUAUGUGUGUCCCUCCUGUAGCUGCGUGCUCAGUUGAAGAGGACUACCUUCCCCGAAUUGAGGAGGACCAGUGUUCAGUCAAGGUUAUAUGAGUAGCUGCACUCCAGUGCUAGAACCUCCAAACAAGCUCUCAAAUUUCCCAGCGCAGAAUAUUGACCAUAAUCUUUAAAAUAAAUUCUGGUUACCUUAAUUUUUUU